UCAGGACUGUAGGAGCAAUGUUGCUUGGAAUUGGAGUCUCCUCCAAAGAAAGCACAGCUCACACAGAUCUUAGUGAGAAAUAGCAACAAUAACUGCCACCAUCAUGCCCCUGCCACGUGGCAGGCUCCGGGGUACACCCUUUCCAGGCAUUACUCCAUUGGCAGCAAGCAUAUAAGUGGGGCUAUUAUGAUCUUCACUUUAAGGACAAGAGGAACAAGGCCACAGAGAAUCCUGAUUUUGUUUGGAAGGACAGCGUGCCUGGUUCCAGGUAAUUGAUCAUGAUGAGUCGAAGCUGGAGG
rnacentral:lncRNA from 1 species